rnacentral:lncRNA from 1 species
AAACCAAUCACUUAUCUUUAUGUAACUGCACGGCUUCUGCCUUUGUAAGGACAGGUCUUCACUGGACUGCUCUCUCUCCUCCUUGCCCAUGUUGGGAAAACCCCCCAAAGCUUUAAAAUCAUUGUUCCUGAUUCAUUCUUUGCAGUUUAAUAUUCAUGUCUACUUUGCCUUUGUUUCACUUGUAUUAGUACAUUCUGACAUGUCACACUGAACAGAGAUCUGCAUUUCUUGCUGAUUUCUCCCAGUAGUA